ensembl:snRNA U6 U6 spliceosomal RNA
GUGCUCGCUUCAGCAGCACGGAUACUAAAAGAACAAUAUCGAGAAGACUAGCACGGUCCCUGUCAAGGAGGACCCGCAAAUACAUGACGUGUUCUGUCAGCCA